CCCCAGCGCCACAAGUGGGAACCACGUUUAUUGGGUCUAAAGCAUCCGUAGCCGGUCUGGCAAAUGCCCUGUGAAAUCGCAUCGCUUAACGAUGCGGCGGGCAGGGUAGACUACCAGACUAGGGACCAGGAAAGGAAAGCGAUAUUUCUGAGGGAGCGGUAAAAUGUUAUAAUCUCAGGAGGACCCCCUGUGGCGAAGGCGUCUGACGAGAACGGAUCCGACGGUGAGGAACGAAAGCUAGGGGAGCAAACCGG
rnacentral:rRNA from 1 species